GAUAAACGCUGGCGGCGUGCCUAAUACAUGCAAGUCGAACGGAGUUAUUUCAGCAGAAGCUUUCGGGUGGACGCAGGGAUAACUUAGUGGCGAACGGGUGAGUAACACGUGAGGAACCUGCCCUGGAGUGGGGGACAACAGUUGGAAACGACUGCUAAUACCGCAUGAUACUUUUUGGGGGCAUCCCCGAAAAGUCAAAGCUUUAUGUGCUGAAAGAUGGUCUCGCGUCUGAUUAGCUAGUUGGUGAGGUAAUGGCUCACCAAGGCGACGAUCAGUAGCCGGACUGAGAGGUUGAACGGCCACAUUGGGACUGAGAUACGGCCCAG
rnacentral:rRNA from 1 species